UACGAAGGGGGCUAGCGUUGCCCGGAAUCACUAGGCGUAAAGCGCACGUAGGCGGACUCUUAAGUCGGUGGUGAAAUCCUGGAGCUCAACUCCAGAACUGCCUUCGAUACUGAGAGUCUCGAGUCCGGGAGAGGUGAGUGGAACUGCGAGUGUAGAGGUGAAAUUCGUAGAUAUUCGCAAGAACACCAGUGGCGAAGGCGGCUCACUGGCCCGGUACUGACGCUGAGGUGCGAAAGCGUGGGGAGCAAACAGG
rnacentral:rRNA from 1 species